AUUCAUGGCAGGGAUUCGAAACCGGGGCGCACGCGUGGCAAGCGAGCAUUCUACCACUGAACCACCGAUGGU